rnacentral:rRNA from 1 species
GAUGAACGCUGGCGGCGUGCCUAAUACAUGCAAGUCGAGCGAACAGACGAGGAGCUUGCUCCUCUGAUGUUAGCGGCGGACGGGUGAGUAACACGUGGAUAACCUACCUAUAAGACUGGGAUAAUUUCGGGAAACCGGAGCUAAUACCGGAUAACAUGUUGAACCGCAUGGUUCAACAGUGAAAGACGGUCUUGCUGUCACUUAUAGAUGGAUCCGCGCCGCAUUAGCUAGUUGGUAAGGUAACGGCUUACCAAGGCAACGAUGCGUAGCCGACCUGAGAGGGUGAUCGGCCACACUGGAACUGAGACACGGUCCAGACUCCUACGGGAGGCAGCAGUAGGGAAUCUUCCGCAAUGGGCGAAAGCCUGGCGGAGCAACGCCGCGUGAGUGAAGAAGGUCUUCGGAUCGUAAAACUCUGUUAUUAGGGAAGAACAAAUGUGUAAGUAACUAUGCACGUCUUGACGGUACCUAAUCAGAAAGCCACGGCUAACUACGUG